CCUACGGGAGGCUGCAGUGAGGAAUAUUGGUCAAUGGGCGCUAGCCUGAACCAGCCAAGUAGCGUGAAGGAUGACUGCCCUAUGGGUUGUAAACUUCUUUUAUAUGGGAAUAAAGUGCAGUAUGUAUACUGCUUUGCAUGUACCUUAUGAAUAAGGAUCGGCUAACUCCGUUCCAGCAGCGGCGGUAAUACGGAGGAACCGAGCGUUAUCCGGAUUUAUUGGGUUUAAAGGGAGCGUAGGCGGGUUGUUAAGUCAGUUGUGAAAGUUUGCGGCUCAACCGUAAAAUUGCAGUUGAUACUGGCAGCCUUGAGUACAGUAGAGGUAGGCGGAAUUCGUGGUGUAGCGGUGAAAUGCUUAGAUAUCACGAAGAACUCCGAUUGCGAAGGCAGCCUGCUGGACUGUAACUGACGCUGAUGCUCGAAAGUGUGGGUAUCAAACAGGAUUAGAUACCCCUGUAGUC
rnacentral:rRNA from 1 species